UAUUAUGCUUCCUACAUCGUG
rnacentral:miRNA from 1 species